CAGUGGGGCUUCGGACGCCGCGCGACCUGGACGUAUCGUCCCCCGCCCCUGUAAAUCCCACAAUAAAUAAUUUUCACUUAACUCGUGAUGCGCAAAUAUUCCUGUCAUACGCCAUUAAUCCCGUUUCCCGCCCACUGAGUGAUCGCUUUGUGCUGUUUUGUGGAGUUGUGAUUGAACCGUUGGAGCCGCUGCACAAGGGUUGUGAUGAAGACAGGUUAUUUUAAAAAUUCAACGAUUUACGAUUACGGUUAUAAACUAUGACCGAAAAAACCCAAAGAUCGCAUUAUCAAGUACAUAACUGCGAGCUGCGAAGGCUUCUUACGAACUCAUCUAGCAGAUAACUACAUCGUAUUGUCUGCAACCGUUUCUGGGCUUGGUAACUCCACCACCGUUGGCGUUAGUCAUCGCCAACGGGGGAAGAGUUCCUGCUCCUAGACGCGAUGCUCUACUGAGGCCAGUUACUCGGGCUCCUAUUAAGGCGAGCCUUACGGUGGUAAAAAGGAUUUCUCGGGGAACUGACGAAAGAACAAGGAGAAGAUUACAUGCUGAUUGACGGAAUUUGAAGCCCGGUGAUGAUAUAAAAGGAAUUUAUGUGGGCUACAAUUAAUAUUUGUAAUAAUAUUAUACAUAAUAAUUGACUUUAUUGUUUAAAAUAUUCACAUUUACUAUAAUCUGUAAUAUGUAUUUAUAUACUUAUUAUUUUUAAUGUCGGAUUUGUGUCUCAAGCAGACAGAAGUUAAGGUUAACAAUGCUUUAAUUAUUGAAAAACAUACAAAUUACUUUACUUGAAAGCUAGUGCAUGACCUACUUAAAUUUGGUCUACUUCUAACGGUUUAAAUGAGUUUGAGUUGGGGGUGACACUUUUUCAUACGAGAGAUGGUCCAGAUUCCUGAUGUCCUGAUUUCGGACCUUCCUCUAGACUCCUUAUAUUUGUAGUUCUGGUUAUCAUAUAAAAACAACUCAAAUUGUAAAAGGGUAAAUAAAUAGUAAUACAGUUAAAACUUAGUUUUAUUUACACAGCCCAAUACUAUACAUUAUCUAUGAAACUGUUAAAGACAGUUAGCCAAAUAGCCUUACAAUAAUUAUAACAUAAGUUAUUGGUUAUCACUCUCUUCACAUAUUUUCUAAUUAAACAGUUACUGAUUAAGUAUGAGUUUUAUUAUAUAUUUGCAUCAUGACGUCAUGGAAUAAUCUUAUGAAAUUAUGUAAGGGGAUGCUUCAUUCUAAUCUUCAAUUGUUAUAAAUAUAGCAUUUAAAAUACACGAAAUGUGAAUAAAGUAUAUUAAUUUGUCAUAGUAUUCAGUGCCAGUUUUGUGACUGAUUUAAUCACUAACUUAAUGAACAUGUUUGAGUUAGAUUUUCUAAUCAUUUGAACUGAACGUAAUAGAACAUUCCCAAUAGUUGUUAGUGACUUUUAAUUUCGGAAGCUGUCAAAGUGACAUUUCACGCAUAUGCGCCAUUUUGUUGAAUCACAUUUCUCGUAUAUAACUUGCAGUUAUGAGCCUGCCGAUGAUAUACAAAAUUGGCGGUACUUCCGAAUUCCGAAUACUUCCGACUACUUUCCGAAUACCUUUGAAAACCUGAAACAUCCCCUUUAACAAUAUAUAUUAUUACCGUCAUCUAUUAUGUGUACAUAAUCAGGUUUAGCUCUAUUAUUGCUCACAUAUUACGGACGUCAAAGUCUAGCGGAUGUGUUACCUACAUAAAAGAGUCAAAAGGACUCCUUGCUUAUAAUAAACGAUACAAAAAUAUAUCCUUUGAAAGAAACUUUAAGAGAUGAAUACAUGUUACUCGAAGGGCUAACGUUACCCUAAACAUCUAUAAUAGUAUUUAUAUAGAAACUAGCCAGCCCUUGGCUUCGCCUGCAUAGUUUAAGGAGAAAAUACAGUCGUGUUUUCGGGAUUUCCAGGAUAAAAAUCCCUUUCCCUAUUACACGCGGUUUAUGCAUAAAGAAUAUUCAGCUACUUUCUAUAUAACAUGACCCAGAUUAAUCGUUCAAAAAUACGAAGUCCGUUGUCCCUUUGUGGCGUAAAGGGCAAGUACAUUUCGGUAUUCGGUACACUUGACUUGGUGGAAAAAAAAACUUAGAUUUAUAAUUUGCCUGACCGAUACUUUUUAUAGUAUAUAAGGGAUGAUGUACUAAAACCAAUCAAACCAAUUGAUUUUAUUUAUUAAUUAUUUUGGCUAUUAUUUCAACCCACACCCUCUACAUUAAGGAUACCUAGUACCUAGUAUCUAGGUUGUCUAUGAAUUGAUAACUCCUAGUGUAUAAGUCUAUAACCACUAGUGAAAAAGGAAAUAUCUAUGGACGAUGAAUGUAUAUAUGAAGCUGUCUCUUUCUCUCAUUCAACAGUGUUUUUGCUAGAGUGAGAAAGCCAAUCACCGCAAUCACACAAAAUAAAUUAUAGAGGAAAAUAAUAAGUAUUUAAGAACGCUAACGAUUAUCAUUAACUUGAAUUCGAAAACAGCUUGUGAAUAGCCGAUUUUAAAAAUAAAAAAUAAUUCUUCAAAACAAAAAAAAAAAGAUCUUCCAUGAAUAAUAUAAUCAGUAAUUAGACAGUAAUCAAAGUAACCGUAAUAUAAACUAAAGACUUUACAACGGCUUGGUAAUUAACUAAAUCAAAGCGCAUUUCGAACAAGCGAAGUCACGGGAAAUGUAUUGUAGACUUGUAAUGAAUACUCGAAAAAAAAUCAAACUGCAAAAAUGUUAUAACAGUUCCAAUACAAAGUCUAGAAUAUAAGGUAAAUGAACCAAACAUCGACACAUUGCAUUUUUAGGAAGACAUAAUGUGUGUAGGCCCCUACUCAUAAACAUAAUUUAAUCAUGUUCGUCAACAUAUUUGCCACAAAUUAAGUUAGUCAUGUCUCUCUCAUAUUGUAGUAGUUUGACUUAAGUUAGAAAUAAAGGUAAGUGUCGAUUUUAACUGUUUAUAAGUAAGAGGCUACACGUAGCUGUAAAUUUUACAAGCUCGCAUGAACAAUUUAAUGUGUGUCUUUUGGCAAACCUUAUGCUUACAAACCGAAUAGUUGACAGUGGUUGAAUAAAAAAAAACUAAUAAAAGAAAAUACUGGAUAGAGGCUGUAUACAAAAAUAAAACCUAAAUCCAUCAUACAAUUAUAAGAAUAACACAGGAAAUAUUCGUAAGAUAGUAAAAUACACUAUACAGUAGAAUAUUGAUUGCGAAUAAAAAAAUAAAAUAAAAUAAUAGUUAAUUAAAUACCUGAUGCCUUAUAGCAAUACUAUUAUUAAUAAAUAUUGUUCAUGCUUGCUUGUCAUGCAUACAGCAUCAUGUAUACUAGAAAAUUUUAGGGUUAUAUUGUAUGACGUUUACUUUAAAUAGAUUUUUCUUCAAAGUGGAUAUGACGGUAGCGAUUUGAUAACAUUUUAUAUGCAUUUAUAUUCAUACGAAAUAUUUCUCGUAUGAUAUAAGUGUUAUAUAUAUAAUAACAGGUAAUUUUUAAGGAGUGUGUGGGUAUGUUCCUAAUAUAUUUAAAUACAUUAAUUCUAUUAAAUAUCUAUGCCAAGGAACUUUAAUUACGAGACAUGUAAAAUAUUUUACAAGCAUCUAGUUUUGUUCAUACAUCAGGGAUUUGAUAACAUACAUUAAAAUAUAUGUAAUAGACCAUUUCUCAUUCUUUUGUAAUAAAUAAAACAAAAAACAUAUAUGGAGUUACGCAUUUAUUACAAUAUGUUUAUUUACGAACAAUGUGUGUGAUUUUUAAUUGUGAUAUAAUUUCUGUAAAUAAUAAUAUUAGCAUACCGUCAUACCGACUUUGAAAAAAUACCAGCUGCAUCUAUAUUAUUUGUCAUACAUAUGAAUAAAACUGUAUUAAAACAGUUUUAGCAGUAAAUAAAAUACAUUUUCGUAUACAAAUUUGAACUAAAAUAAUUAAAGUCAAUUCGAUAAAUGACUGCGUACCAUUUUACUUAAUUGGUAACCGAUAGUAAAAAAAAAACAUCGUUAUUUCACAAAAUUUCACAAUAAA